rnacentral:rRNA from 1 species
UACAGAGGUCUCAAGCGUUGUUCGGAUUCAUUGGGCGUAAAGGGCGCGUAGGCGGUGCUCUAAGUCGGAUGUGAAAACUCUGGGCUCAACCCAGAGCCUGCAUCCGAAACUGGAGUGCUAGAGUUCUGGAGGGGGUAGCGGAAUUCCUGGUGUAGCGGUGAAAUGCGUAGAUAUCAGGAGGAACACCAGUGGCGAAGGCGACACUCUGGAGAGCAACUGACGCUGAGGCACGAAGGCCAGGGGAGCGAACGGG